rnacentral:tRNA from 1 species
GGCACCUUGACGCAGUGGUUACCGUGCUCUCUUGCUAUACUUUGCGGUAGGGAGUGCCGAAAGGCUCGUGAGUUCGAAUCUCACAGGUGUCG